rnacentral:rRNA from 1 species
AGGACGAACGCUGGCGGCGUGCCUAACACAUGCAAGUCAACGGGGGAUUUGUUUACGGGCAGAAUCCUAGUGGCGAACGGGUGAGUAACGCGUAAGGCAACCUGGCCCUCCGGCCGGGGGACAACACUCCGAAAGGGGGUGCUAAUACCGGAUACGAAGUCUGUGCCGCAUGGUACGGAUUUGAAAGAUGGCCUCUAUUUAUAAGCUAUCGCCGGGGGAUGGGCCUGCGUCCGAUUAGCUGGUUGGUGGGUAACGGCCUACCAAGGCGACGAUCGGUAGCCGGUCUGAGAGGAUGAACGGCCACAUUGGGACUGAGACACGGCCCAGACUCCUACGGGAGGCAGCAGUGGGGAAUCUUCCGCAAUGGGCGCAAGCCUGACGGAGCAACGCCGCCGUGAGUGAGGAAGUUCUUCGGAACGUAAAGCUCUGUUGUUCCUGACGAACCUCCCUUCUAUCAACAACGGAGGGGACUGACGGUAGGGAACGAGGAAGCCACGGCUAACUACGUGCCAGCCGCCGC